rnacentral:rRNA from 1 species
UACGGAGGGUGCAAGCGUUGUCCGGAUUUAUUGGGUUUAAAGGGUGCGUAGGCGGCUAAUUAAGUCAGUGGUGAAAUACAGCAGCUCAACUGUUGAGGUGCCAUUGAUACUGAAUAGCUUGAGUACAGAUGAGGUAGGCGGAAUUUAUGGUGUAGCGGUGAAAUGCAUAGAUACCAUAAAGAACACCGAUUGCGGAGGCAGCUUACUAAGCUGUAACUGACGCUGAGGCACGAAAGCGUGGGGAGCGAACAGG